rnacentral:rRNA from 1 species
GUGUCAGCAGCCGCGGUAAUACGUAGGGUGCAAGCGUUAAUCGGAAUUACUGGGCGUAAAGCGUGCGCAGGCGGUUGUGUAAGACAGGCGUGAAAUCCCCGGGCUCAACCUGGGAAUUGCGCUUGUGACUGCACAGCUGGAGUGCGGCAGAGGGGGAUGGAAUUCCGCGUGUAGCAGUGAAAUGCGUAGAUAUGCGGAGGAACACCGAUGGCGAAGGCAAUCCCCUGGGCCUGCACUGACGCUCAUGCACGAAAGCGUGGGGAGCAAACAGGAUUAGAUACCCUGGUAGUCC